rnacentral:rRNA from 1 species
AGCGAACGCUGGCGGCAGGCUUAACACAUGCAAGUCGAGCGGGCAUCUUCGGAUGUCAGCGGCAGACGGGUGAGUAACACGUGGGAACGUACCCUUCGGUUCGGAACAACUCUGGGAAACUGGAGCUAAUACCGGAUACGCCCUUAUGGGGAAAGGUUUACUGCCGAAGGAUCGGCCCGCGUCUGAUUAGCUAGUUGGUGGGGUAACGGCCUACCAAGGCGACGAUCAGUAGCUGGUCUGAGAGGAUGAUCAGCCACACUGGGACUGAGACACGGCCCAGACUCCUACGGGAGGCAGCAGUGGGGAAUAUUGGACAAUGGGCGCAAGCCUGAUCCAGCCAUGCCGCGUGAGUGAUGAAGGCCUUAGGGUUGCAAAGCUCUUUUGUCCGGGACGAUAAUGACGGUACCGGAAGAAUAAGCCCCGGCUAACUUCG